GACGUAGGGCGCAAGCGUUGUCCGGAUUUAUUGGGCGUAAAGAGCUCGUAGGCGGUCUGUCGCGUCGGUCGUGAAAACUUGGGGCUUAACCCUGAGCUUGCGGUCGAUACGGGCAUGACUGGAGUUCGGCAGGGGAGACUGGAAUUCCUGGUGUAGCGGUGAAAUGCGCAGAUAUCAGGAGGAACACCGGUGGCGAAGGCGGGUCUCUGGGAUGAUGCUGACGCUGAGGCGCGAAAGCCAGGGGAGCAAACGGG
rnacentral:rRNA from 1 species